rnacentral:rRNA from 1 species
GACGAACCGUGCGAACGUUGUUCGGAAUCACUGGGCUUAAAGGCGCGUAGCGGCGCAACAAGUCACUUGUGAAAUCUCCGGGCUUAACCCGGAGCGGUCAAGUGAUACUGUCGUGCUAGAGUGCGGAAGGGCUACUGGAAUUCUCGGUGUAGCGGUGAAAUGCGUAGAUAUCGAGAGGAACACCUGCGGCGAAGGCGGUAGCUGGCCGACACUGACGCUGGAUGACGCGAAAGCCAGGGAGCGAACGGG